GCUCACCUAGUUAGAACAAGGUUGGUCAGAGAAACUGUAAGAAAACACUGCUAGCCGGAUUGUCCUUUCUGCUGGAACAGCUUCUGCUGAAAACAGUACUAUUAUUACUACUACUUACAAAAAGCAAACAACAACAACAAAAAAGAUAACUCUUUAGAGGUUGAUUCUUUUUUUCUGAAGAAACUCAAGUCUCCAAAGCUGGAUGGACAACAGAGCAUUCCAGCCAGUGAAAAUAGAACAGGACUCUGGAUUUUUUGUUGGCUUUUUGUUUUUUUGGAAGCAGGGUCAUGAUUAAAAGCAAUGGUUGGGGCAUUCUUAUUGUGCCAUUUGAACUGAAAUUCUUGCACCGCUGCAAGAUGAACUAAACCAAGAGUAUUUGCCAAGAAUGUUUUCGUUAACUGAGAACAAAAGCUGGAAGAUGUGAGCAACAUGCUAUCUGGUGGUGUUACUCCCAUCACUCUCCAGGCAGCUCACAGGACACCCAAGUCUUUGGGU
rnacentral:ncRNA from 1 species